UUGCUCACUUUGCCAGCACAGAUACUAAAAUUGGAACAAUACGGAGAUGAUUAGCAUGGCCCCUGCACAAGGAUGACACACAAAUUCGUGAAGCUUUUCAUAUUUUU
rnacentral:snRNA from 1 species